rfam:Triticum aestivum genome assembly, contig: Triticum_aestivum_CS42_TGACv1_scaffold_542669_6DS
UAGGUUUGACUGAAGUCAAACUUCAUAAAAUUUGACCAAAUUUAUAGAAAAAAUAUGAACAUUUACAAUAGCAAAUCUAUACGAUGUGAAAGUAUAUUCAAUGAUGAAUCUAAUGGUACUGAUUUGUUAUUGUAUAUGUUACUAUUUCUGUCUAUAAACUUUGUCAAAGUUUACAAAGUUUGACUUUGAGCAAAGCUAA